CUUGCGCCAGGGGAUCGGGGGCGCCGUCAGCAGCUGCCACUGCCGGACACCGGAAGUGAGGGGAGUGCGCGGAGCAUCAUGGGAGACACCCCGAGAAGGGGGUGGGGUGCGCGGUUGAGCGUUGGCCUUGCCGAGGGGCUGCGUCCCCCCCCGCCCCGCCGGGAUCCCCCUUUGGCCGGGCCCCUGAGGUGCCUCCUCGGGAGCAGCCCACCCCCCACCUGGCCCGCAGGUGCCUCAGUCUCCCCCGCCGCCCCCCCGCAUCAGGCCCAGCGCCCCCAGCCACCCCCAGAGCGCCCGCCGGGCAAGCAGGGAACUGGGGGGGGGUGUUCAGUUGCUAGCCCCCGCGGCGGCUCGGCGGGUUUGGAGGGUUAUUGGUAAAUGUCAGCAAAGAUGUCCAAAACCAAAUAACAAGCAUUCUGAGCUGAUAAGCUGCUUCGUCAGUUCUCAUUUUCAAGAGGCCAUUCUUACAGGGAUUUCCAUGCACCCUACAAAUGAAUCCCAAUCCUCAGAGCCAAUUCAUUUCUGACCAGAGCGGAAAGAAAGCAAUUUGACUGAGACCCAUUACCGCCCAACAUGGUGGUUCUGGUUGCAUGAAAAUUCCAAGACUCUCACCUUUUCCAGCCAAUUUUCCUCCAAACUGCUGAUGUUAAAAGUCUUUAUUUAAGAUGGACUCACUGUACAUCUGGAGAGAACAAGUGAUAUGGGCUUUUCUUUUUCCUGGAGUCCACCAAUCCAAUGGUGACAUGUUUAAAAUAAAUUUGAUUUCUCCUUUCCCUCUCCAACCCAUGUCCCUUCAUGCUGGCAAACUGUGAUACAGUUUACAGUGGUUCAGAUGCACUGUAUCAUUUUA